ACCCGCUGAACUUAAGCAUAUCAAUAAGCGGAGGAAAAGAAACCAACCAGGGAUUGCCCCAGUAACGGCGAGUGAAGCGGCAACAGCUCAAAUUUGAAAUCUGGCACUCAGGGCCCGAGUUGUAAUUUGUAGAGGAUGCUUUUGGCGAGGUGCCUUCCGAGUUCCCUGGAACGGGACGCCACAGAGGGUGAGAGCCCCGUAUGGUCGGACACCGAGCCUCUGUAAAGCUCCUUCGACGAGUCGAGUAGUCUGGGAAUGCUGCUCAAAAUGGGAGGUAUGUGUCUUCUAAAGCUAAAUAUUGGCCAGAGACCGAUAGCGCACAAGUAGAGUGAUCGAAAGAUGAAAAGCACUUUGAAAAGAGGGUUAAAAAGUACGUGAAAUUGUUGAAAGGGAAGCGCCUAUGACCAGACUUGCGCCCGGUGAAUCACCCAGCGUUCUCGCUGGUGCACUUUGCCGGGCACAGGCCAGCAUCAGUUCAGCGCGGGGGAGAAAGGCUUCGGGAAUGUGGCUCCCUCGGGAGUGUUAUAGCCCGCUGCGUAAUGCCCUGCGCCGGACUGAGGUACGCGCAUUGCAAGGAUGCCGGCGUAAUGGUCAUCAGCGACCCGUCUUGAAACACGGACC
rnacentral:rRNA from 1 species